rnacentral:lncRNA from 1 species
UUUUCCAGAUGUCCCCACUAUCGCCGUAGAUGUCGCAUUAUAGCCCCAUGCUGCAAUGAGAUGUUUGACUGCAGGCAUUGUCAUAAUGAAUAUAAGGUAAGUCCUGAUGUAUGAUGGAGUCAGAAUUUGGACAAUAAGACAUUCUAGUUGAUGAUUGACCAUUCACUUACGAAUAAGUAUAAUAUGUCUGUAGUUAAUGAGGUGCACAAUAUGCUACCUCAGUAAGAUUUGAGAUAACAAAAUACCUGCAUCCAGGGACAUGAGCAUUAUUGUUUGAAGUCAUGUAGUGUUUUCUUGUACCUU